UGUACACUAAAUGUCCACUAGCUGUACACUAAAUGUCCACUAACUGUACACUAAAUGUCCACUAGCUGUACACUAAAUGUCCAGUAGCUGUACACUAAAUGUACACUAGCUGUACACUAACUGUCCACUAACUGUACACUAAAUGUCCAGUAGCUGUACGCUAAACGUCGACUAUGUGUGUAUAAGGUUCUCAUAUAGCUGGCACCAGUUGCCUUUUUAAAAUAAAAGACGUUAACCAUCAUGUAAUGUCUCAUUUUAUGAAGAUUAAUUAAUUAAUUAAUUAAUUAAUUUCCCGGAAGGGAUUAUUCAAGAUGUUUAGUACUUUGUAAAACCACUCUCACGGAGUUGAAUGGGAAGUGGACAGCACGCGAUGCCCAGCAGCGAGACAGCGUCACAAAGCGUGACGUCACUCAACAAUGACGUCAAGCCCCGGCGACAGAGAACAAACGCGCGUCAGUAACAGCAAGGCUUGUUUUUAUCUGGCCUACCCCUCUAGGGACAAAUAAAAUGAAAUCGCUGGAAAAUGACGUCAAGAGUCGUCUGCUUAUUCGCACUUCCAGCGAAAAGUGAGUGGACUGAACUUCGCGGGAAACUAAUUUUUGUUUUUAAGAAAAGCCUGAAAGUGAGGAGAAGCAAUCCGGCCCCUGACUCACGAUGUAUGACGAGCAUCUCACGACAGCUGCUGUGUCACUGGUUGUUGGCUUUGCGGCCCAUCUGUUUUUUAUUUUCAGCUUUGCAUACACCUGGGAAUUUUGGCGACAGGUCAAGUGGUACAUCAUCGUCAUGACUGUCGGCAAUGUUCUUAGUCUCUAUAAAAUGGUCCUGACAGUGAUGAUCCUCGGGAAGUACUGGUCCAUCUCCACGGAUGAAGCCUACAAAUUCGUGGAGUUCAUCUCUUCGCUUGGACUCUGCCUCACCAACAUGUCCAUCGCUGCCUUGGCUGUCCACGUCCUCCUGACCUCAGCCACCGGUUGCCAGGGCAACACUUGGCGACAUGGAUUUCUCAUCGGUGUUUUCGUCCACUGGAGCCUAUCCCGGACUUUGUACCAGAUCUUCACUCCUUCGGCGAAACAUAAAUUACUAUGCACCAAUGGUUUUAAAGAUGAAGAAACAGAAGAUCAUACCACAUUGGCUUUACAGUGAUUUCCGUGGUCUUACCUCUAAUUAUUAUAAUAAGCGCAUGUGUGGCAUCUAUACUUUUGAACAGAACUUCCAACAGAAAGACUGUCAUCUCGGAUGUGGACAAUGCCGAACUCUCUCUGACGAUAUUUCUUGGGCUAGUCGUGCCAAAAAAGGUGUGGUUGAAAUCCUUAGGGCUUUGUGGUCUAUUGGUCUUCUGGUGGCAACAUACAAUAUUCCUUUCAAUGUUGCUUAUCUUGGGAUUCACAAUAGAGACAAUCUGGGCCUCGACUUGUAGCACCACACCUCACAAUUGUGUCCAAUUUAUCUACAGUGACAUCACACCAGUCUACUGUCGGCUGUACUACUUCACAUUCUCCUUUCCAGCCGUCACUUCCUGUGCCUGCGCCACAUUUGGAUAUGCCUUGGCGUUUCUCGAUCGCUACUUUAUGCCUUCAGGCAGACAGUAAAACAACAUUGACAAGCACAACAUAACGGGUCAACUGACCCCAGCGGUCACGCACAACAACUGACCCCAGAGGUCACGCACAAGGGACACAAACCGGUCAGCUCACUGAGUUGUCCUCCAAACCGUUACAGCGACUUGUCUACCAUCAAACUGCCUUCAUUAUAGCUGAAGUUCUCUUAAGUUCAUUUCUAACCGAGAAAUUGCUUUAAACAGCUUAGAGACGUGUUAUAAUUUAGCUUCGUAGUUUCCUUUUUUUCUGGUGUUUGGACCUUCAUUGCAGCAAUUCGCUAAUUUAAACACUAAAACGAAGUGUGACACCAUGAGGUCAAGCUUCUUUAUUUUCUGUGUGAAAUUAUGAUCUCGAUGCCUGUGUAAUACAUUUGUUCAGAUGCUACACACACUAACCCCACUCUCGCCGUCGAUCUCCACCUCACGCGCCGCCGCUAAAACAAUAUUCGGCAAUACGACAUGCCAAACAAUAACGACAAUGGAAACAGUGACUAAUGCCUAAUGUCUCGAAAUACCUACCCACCUUAUCUAAAAACAACCAAUAUUUUCAUUUACUAUGGGUUGAAUUCAUGAAGCGAGGGUAAGUCGUUACACAGGGGUAAAAAUGCAUUUAUGCCAUAGCUAAUAAAAUGCAAAUAAAAUAAAAAGUGUGUGAUUAAUUAUACUAAUCAGACAUGUCGUACAACAGCACACAGCCGUCACAAGGGCCAAUAUAACCGUAGUAGGUAAAAGUAAUGUGAAGAUAAAGAUCUUAAUGAAUAGAUAAGUAUCAAUAUGUAAUGACAUAGCUCUUGACUCU